UUUUUAAUACUGUCUGCUUCGGGUGGGUGGCCUAGAACAUCCCCUGACAGCAGCAGGGCCCUGUAAUAAGGCUUGAAACCUGUGUUUUGUUGGCCAAAGGUGGGUCACCCGCAUAGCUCAGAUUCAAAGGGUGGGUGAGGACUACAGAGCCAGGUAGCUAAGGUGGGGCACAAUAGGGAGCACCUGCCAUUGGGCUUCUGACCUCAGCACCAGGGUGGGGGUGGGGGACACCUCUGAACAGCUGUCAGGGAGGUAGAGCCCUGGGAACCAGCAGUCAUGGCAAAUGAUAAGGCCAGAGUGCCUAGCCACAUGGCUAGGGUACAGGAACAGUUCACCACAUGGGGCCAGCCACUCUGAGGGUCCUCAGGCUCCUAGGUUGCUAGAGACAACGGGAAAUCCCCUUCUGCCCCACUCCCAAGAGCAUAGCAGCUAUAGCACAGGGUUCAGUUUGAACAUCUGUAUCCAGUCCCAAAGCCGGCGUCCCAUCCCCACCCCCAGUUCCUGCUCUCAGCUGCUGAGUGACUGGGGGCUGACUGGGAAAUAGCAACCCCCGACUGUUAGCAACCACCUCGUUUAGAUUAUAUCUAAACCUAGGCCCAGCAUAACCCCAGAGCCAAAUGUGUGUGCCGGAGUACACCUGUCUCCAGCAGUUGGCCCCAGAAGACCUCUCCUGCGGCUUUCUCAGGUGACAUACAUCUCCCUCCUCUCUGGGUGGAGAAGAGGGAAGAAAACACAGGCAGGUUCUGUGGCAUCCCUAGUGUGAGAUGAGAGACAGUGUCUGGGAAGGUGGCAGAGAGGGGAGCAAAGAUGGGCCCAGGAAGGCCAGUGGGUGGAGGGGACACCCAGAGGGGUUCUGAUGGCCGCUGGCAGUCUUGUGGUAGCAGCACACUGCCCUGGGAAGGCAUGGAGAGACCGGCUUGCUUAGCCAUCCUCUCUGGACAUCUGGGAUUCAUCUAGACCAGGACCUUGUGACCUCCUACUGCUGUCUCUUAAGAAUAAGCCCUUCUAUGUGGAACACUUCCUCUGAAUGUGAAGAAGGAUCAUGACAGCACACAGUAGGUGACAUUGUGACUAAUCUUCAAUAUAGAGGCUGAGAUUCGGUAGCUGAUAUUCCACUCAGGACCUGAAAUUCCACUCCCCAGUUGUCAGUCACCCAAGCAGUCAUGGGUGCUUUCUGAGUGUGGGCCUCUCCUGACCAUUGUACGGGAGGUUGGGACAGGAGUGGGCAUGUCUGGGAAUGAGAAUUCCUUCUGCUUGGGAGAGACCUGAGUAGCAGGAAGAUGGCCUUGUAGCAGUGGACCAGAGGGUGUCUAGGAGUGGAGGGCAGGAAGGGAAAUACCAGGGUAGAGGCAGAGGGGCUGUACCUCUGGGUGUGGUUUGGACUAAUGAGGGUUCUGAGCAGAAACUGGGUGCUCAGAGUCAACACUGGCAGCUGGCCUACCCUGCAUCACCACAGAGACUUUUCUUUGCUCACAGGUUGCACGUUCAUUGAGGAGAAUUUUACUUUGAAGUGCCCCAAACAUAAGAGGCUGCCGUUGUAAUACCCGUGUGGCCGAAACUCCGAGGAAGAGGAGCUGCGCCCACAGCCGGUCCUCGAUCCCAUCCGGGUCUAGGUUCCGGCUGCCUUGGGCACUGGCGUGAGGCCUAGGUUGCGAAGAAAACCGAGGCCAGGCUUGGCAAAGGCAGGCCAGAGAGUGGCCAGACCCAGGGCACAGGGUCUCGGGCGGGGUGCAAGUCCCCUGCAAGUUCUGGAAAAGACGUGGCAUGCAAGCUGUGCCCCUGGGAAGAGGCUGGGGGCGCUGCUGGCUCAGUGGACGACGUGGGGCAGACCCAGGCCUUUCGGUAGAGGCCCAGCAAUGGGGCAGCAUGG
rnacentral:lncRNA from 1 species